GACGAACGCUGGCGGCGUGCCUAAUACAUGCAAGUCGAACGCUUCUUUCCUCCCGAGUGCUUGCACUCAAUUGGAAAGAGGAGUGGCGGACGGGUGAGUAACACGUGGGUAACCUACCCAUCAGAGGGGGAUAACACUUGGAAACAGGUGCUAAUACCGCAUAACAGUUUAUGCCGCAUGGCAUAAGAGUGAAAGGCGCUUUCGGGUGUCGUUGAUGGAUGGACCCGCGGUGCAUUAGCUAGUUGGUGAGGUAACGGCUCACCAAGGCCACGAUGCAUAGCCGACCUGAGAGGGUGAUCGGCCACACUGGGAUUGAGACACGGCCCAGACUCCUACGGGAGGCAGCAGUAGGGAAUAUUCGGAAAUGGACGAAAGUCUGACCGAGCAACGCCGCGUGAGUGAAGAAGGUUUUCGGAUCGUAAACUCUGUUGUUAGAGAAGAACAAGGACGUGAGUAACUGAACGUCCCCUGACGGUAUCUAACCAGAAAGCCACGGCUAACUACGUG
rnacentral:rRNA from 1 species